CUCAGAAUAGCUGCCAGAUCUGUUACUGUGACCAUCUCUGCAGGGGCCUCUCAGUGGCACUUAAGGAAGAGGAGAAAGACUGCACCUCAGCUGACUGACUAGUCCCGGGCACGAGGCCACAUGGGGCUGGCAUCAAGCCUCCACCUGCUCAUCGAACUGCAGAGAAAGCAAGUGCCGAUUGAGCUGAGCCACCGCAGCUGCUCCUUUCCCAUGCAUACGACGGCAGGAGUCAGAGGAUCCGAGGGACUCUCCCUGGGGGGAGAUGCUGCAGCAGUGGGAAAGGGAGCCCUCAAAAGCCAUUACAAACAG